CUGAACUGACGAGGAGAACUCCAGAACUCUUUUCCCCUCUGCCCAUCCGGAACAAUCGAGGAAGCCAAUCGUAUCCUCAUCCCUUUCCUCUAAAAAAAAGUAAGGCGGGGAGGACUAAUCGCCGCGGCAGGAGACAAGGCUACUGACCGCCGGCUUCGAGCGGAGGCAGGAGCGUUGCUGCAUCCGGCCGAGGACGGCCAGAGUUGAACCCAUCCGGACGUCUUUGUCGCUGGAGGCGGCAAUCGGCUGGAGGAGUUCGAGGGCCGGCAGGCGGCCGUGGCGAACGAGGCGCGGGCUCAAACUGGAGCUCCACCUCCUCGCUUCCAGGGGAGGCGGCCGCCGGCGCAUCCCCGACAAUGACGGCGCAGGGCCCAGUGCAGACCAGGAGAUUUACCUCCGCCGGCAUCUCCUCCACGGACAACAACCCUGUCCUUCACCGCCAGCACGUCCGCGUUGACGAUGACACAUGCGGCAACACAAACAGCUGGGCGAGGCGACGCCAUCUCUUUGGCCGAUGCGUGUCCUCCGUACCUGCGAGUUUCUGCUGAGGUGCAGGCGGCCAAGCGGCACAAGGAGCAGUCAGGACGGUGGUGCUACAUAUCUUCACAUUUGAUGGAAUGUCCCACAGUGUAGCCAGCAGCUGACGAGAUUGUUGGGGUGUUUAGUCCAAGAAGAGUGGUGUUAAUAUUAGCAAGAAUUAAACGUUCUUUCAGUUGUUCUUGAGGUCUAUUUAAAUGGGGAUCCUCUUGGUCCUCUCUGGCUCUCUCCAUGUACAUAAGGUGAGUAAUCAGACUCCAUGGAAUAUAAAUUUACAGUAUUUGAGUUACAUGUGAGGUUUCUAGAUUUUACUUUUGUGCAUGGUAUUUGCAGGCUCAUAGUUACUCAAAGCAUGACUUUGUUCUACUUCUGUUCAGAUUGACGCGCUCAAAUAUCCAGUAAAUCAUCACCCCGCACACUGCUUAUAUUAUUCAUUCUAUCCUAUUAUUGUUAUUAUUAUUUUCCUUCGACUGCUAUUUCUCUGUACGUAACAUAGUAAAACAUUAUUUUUCUCAUCUGUCAUGGGAUGUUGGUUUAAUGUACGUGCUGACAGAUAUCAUACCAUAAAAAACAAAUCAAGACCCAAGAAUAAAUAUUCACCAAUAGCUUGACUGCUAAUUAGAACACGAUGCAGGGUAUAAUUUCUAGCACACAGUUUCAUAUAAUUUGAAGUAAUCUAUCCACAUUAUGCCCCUCUUCCGUUGACUAUAAGGUAGCAGACCUCUGAUUUGCUCGCUCUUAUAUAUGAAUGGAUAUAAAAGAAGCUCAAUUUACUAAUUAUAUUUCGUAUAGGAAUUCAACAUAUUGCAAAUGAUAUAUGGCUUCCUUCAUCAAUUCCUUAUAAUCAAGUUUUACAGAUGGCUUUACCUCUUUGUAUGAUCAGCAUGUCGUCCCUUUACAAUUGGUUAAUUUUAUUUUCAGUUAAGUGCGACCAAACUCUUAUUUGUCACUCUUUUGGUAGGAACUUUAUAGGAUCAUCAGUGAAAACGAGAGAUACCAAAUUGCAGCAAAAUAAAAUAAAACACUUUGCCAACCAUAUGAUCAGGUGCCUCCCAGAGCACAAAAUUCCAAUUUAACAAGCCGUUUUGACAAAAAGGCAAACACGGUAGAAAAAGGCAUUUAUAUAAAGUGAGCUCACCUAAUUCUUGCAUGGGCACUUAUGAGUAUGUAUGGAUAGAAAAACUAUACCAAGUUGCACACAUGUUCCUGAAAUCUUGCUGUUUAAGUUACUGACAAAAAUUUCAGUUGUCUUCUGUAUAAACUAUAAUUUCAGCUUUGGUCGAUGGUAGAGGGAAAUAGAGUGGAGGGAUGUGUACCAAGCAACCACACAGAUCAAUUCAGAUAACAAGUGAAGGAAGAUAACACAUGAAGUAAGGUUCGACCUUUCUAUUAGAGAUGUUCAUCAUCCCUAAAGCAUGGAUAAGAACAGACUCUUCGACAGUUAAUUGUCCAACAUGUUGUUUUAUUUCAGCGACUGACCCAACGGAGAACAUUAUCCACCUACAACUAUGUAGCCAGUAUGAGUGUCACCUACUUAUUGGCUACAGCGGUACGAUUAAUUGUUCUGUUGACACAGUGAUGCUAUUUCUCUGAACUCAUGGCAGGUACAAACAAGUCAACCAGGCGCUGUUCGUGCUCACAAAAAUUCACAGCAGUGCACACACCUUCACUGCUCAUGCGUGUCAGAGAAACUCUCAAUUUCGAACUGUCCCAGCUAAUACAGUGAUCUUACCUAUGGUAGACAAACUGGAUGUAUCCAAGUGUAUGACUUUUCACUGAUCUGCUGCUUUCAGUUUUCCCUUAUGCUCUUUUUGUUUACAGUUCUUUGCCCUUACCAUCAAUUUAUUCAGCAUAGCUGUACUGUUUUGAAUGUGAGGCAAACAAACAGUUCUAGAUCUCCAACAAUACAGCUGGAUGGCCGUUUUUGUUGUUUUUA